rnacentral:rRNA from 1 species
GAUGAACGCUGGCGGCGUGCCUAGUACAUGCAAGUCGAGCGAACGGACGAGAAGCCUGCUUCUCUGAUGUUAGCGGCGGACGGGUGAGUAACACGUGGAUAACCUACCUAUAAGACUGGGAUAACUUCGGGAAACCGUAGCUAAUACCGGAUAAUAUUUUGAACCGCAUGGUUCAAAAGUGAAAGACGGUCUUGCUGUCACUUAUAGAUGGAUCCGCGCUGCAUUAGCUAGUUGGUAAGGUAACGGCUUACCAAGGCAACGAUGCAUAGCCGACCUGAGAGGGUGAUCGGCCACACUGGAACUGAGACACGGUCCAGACUCCUACGGGAGGCAGCAGUAGGGAAUCUUCCGCAAUGGGCGAAAGCCUGACGGAGCAACGCCGCGUGAGUGAUGAAGGUCUUCGGAUCGUAAAACUCUGUUAUUAGGGAAGAACAUAUGUGUAAGUAACUGUGCACAUCUUGACGGUACCUAAUCAGAAAGCCACGGCUAACUACGUG